GCCCGAAGUGGUUGUGCCGUUUUCGCUUUCUUUCAACAAAAUAAUAAAAUACGUACAUUUAUACGUACAAUUUAUUUUAAUUAAUAUUAUAAAUACAUUACAAUGAUAUCUAACGUAGUCUGUAGAGCAUAUAUAGCCUUGAUUCUGCUAGAUAAGUCUGGUAUCCUUGCGAAAGACUCACAUUCAUUCACCAAGAAUAGGUGCCUGAAUCCCCCUCGUACUGCCCGCCGAGUGGAAUCUUUUAUACAGGAGUGUCAAGAGGAAGUCAAAAAUAAACUAAUUAGCGAAGCUUACUACAUUCUAAAAAGUCAAGUAAAAAAUGAAAAUACAGCAUUGGACAUUACUGUAGAUAACAUCUCGGAGAUUAAUUCGGCUCCCGCACCAGUUCCUGUUCAAUCGAUUAUUUUCCAUACCAUCGAAGAAAACUCUAAGUUAGCGUCUCAACAUGAUGCAUAUCAAUUUCAACCAGAGAGGCAACAAGUGACCAGUUUGAUGAACCACAUUCGACGCAUUUCAUAUAACGCGCGUAGUGCCCUUUAUUAUCCUACAUUGGUACCCGCGGAGGAAAAACGUUUAGCUGGCUGCCUGUUACACUGCGUUUAUGCGAAAAAUAAAGCUAUCGACAAACUGGGAUGGCCUACUCUUGACGGCUUAGUAAACUUUUACUCAGAAGGAGUGAAUGAACACGGUUUUUUUAUGGCCACACUCCGAUCCGUAAAUCUCUGCCUGCAUGCAAUUACAAUAAAGUAUAAUAUCGAUCGACGCAAACUACCAAAACGUGGUGAAAGCUGUGAUUUAGCCUUCGACGUGUUCGAUUGUAUUUCAGACCAACUAACGGGUUAUUGCUUAAAUCAAUACGAAUAACAUUUCUCAAUUAAUACUUGUAAAUAACUUUUAACGACUAGAUAUCCGAAUAACCUUCGAACUACCAGUAAAAUUUACGAACGUAAAAAAUUCAUUGGCCUACAUAUUCUUUACAAAAGGGAUCUCAAACCAUCUUGGAACCACCAAAGGAUUUGUUGAAAGCAUGCUACUUCAAUUAUCAAAAUCCGUUAUGAUGUAACAAAAUUUACAUUUAGCCUACUCUCAUUUUUAUAUAAUAUAUAAACAGUAAAUGUAUUGCUUAGAAAAAUUCAGAUUAUUAAGAUUUUGACAAUUGCAAAAAUAAAGACUUUUUCUAUUAUUUUUGAA
rnacentral:misc_RNA from 1 species